CUACGGGUGGCUGCAGUGGGGGAUAUUGCACAAUGGAGGAAACUCUGAUGCAGCAACGCCGCGUGAGGGAAGAAGGUCUUCGGAUUGUAAACCUAAGUAGUCAGGGACGAUAAUGACGGUACCUGAAGAGUAAGCUCCGGCUAACUACGUGCCAGCAGCCGCGGUAAUACGUAGGGAGCGAGCGUUAUCCGGAUUUACUGGGUGUAAAGGGUGCGUAGGUGGGUUUGCAAGUCAGGCGUGAAAUACCGAGGCUCAACUUCGGGGCUGCGCUUGAAACUGUAAAUCUUGAGUGAAGUAGAGGCAAGCGGAAUUCCUAGUGUAGCGGUGAAAUGCGUAGAUAUUAGGAGGAACACCAGUGGCGAAAGCGGCUUGCUGGGCUUUUACUGACGCUGAGGCACGAAGGCAUGGGGAGCAAACAGGAUUAGAUACCCCGGUAGUC
rnacentral:rRNA from 1 species